GAUGAACGCUAGCGGCAGGCUUAAUACAUGCAAGUCGAGGGGUAACACGGGUAGCAAUAUCUGGUGACGACCGGCAAACGGGUGCGGAACACGUACAGAACCUUCCUUUAAGCGGGGGAUAGCCCAUAGAAAUGUGGAUUAAUACCCCAUAGUAAUAUUGUCUGGCAUCAGAUGAUAUUUAAAGAUUUAUCACUUAAAGAUGGCUGUGCGGCUGAUUAGGUAGUUGGUGCGGGUAACGGCCCACCAAGCCAGCGAUCAGUAACUGGUGUGAGAGCACGACCAGUCACACGGGCACUGAGACACGGGCCCGACUCCGUACGGGAGGCAGCAGUAAGGAAUAUUGGUCAAUGGACGCAAG
rnacentral:rRNA from 1 species